rnacentral:lncRNA from 1 species
AAGACAUAGGUUAUUUAUAUGCAGCAAUACAUCACCGCCUUAUUGCCCUUCGAAGUCUCAGCAAGCAGGGUGAUGGUGGUCCAGCUGAAAGCCAGUCGGAUGCAGGCCUCCAGCAGUUCAGCUGUGAGAGCUGUGAUGAGGAUGAGGAUGAGUUCCUACAAGUCACUAAAAAUGGAUCAGACCCUUCAAGGUGGAGCCACAGACAGUCCGUUGUCUGCUCAUAAGUACUCUUCUACAGCAGACAGGACUGCUAGAGGAAGAGUGCUCACGCUACUGAAAGGCCUGACCAUCCACUGAGAAGACUCUAUUCAGACCUCAACGAGGUUUUGUUUUUAUUUUUAAAUUAAAGAAACACAAUUUCUUGUAAUUAAAAGUUUUAUGUUUUACAUUUUGAUUAUCGUGUGCAAAAUUUAAGAAAUGAACUUCAGAAGAUAAAAAAAUCAUAGUUUUGUGGAUUAAUCUAGAAUAGGAUUUGAUAACUAAUUUGGACUACUCAUCACAUUGAUGAAUAUAGUAAUUAAAAGUAAAACUGUUGGCUUUCAUAAAUAUCUAAACAAAGUAUUUAUUUUAAUCAUAUGUUGUCUGGCUAUAGAAAAAAUAUUUUACUAAAUUUACAGUUGUAUCUUUAAAAUACUAUAACUGUGAGGCCUUUUAUUAAAUUGUGUUUAUCUUCUGAGAAAUGUAUAUUUCACUUACACUUUGAAUUUUCUAAUACAUAUUUUCAAGUAAGAAUUCUUUUACAAAAGUGCCCAUUUGUGGACUUGUAUCCAUUGCAUCUUAUGUAUUUGAUUCAGUCAGCUCACAAGAGAUGUUGAAUAAUUGAACAAAAUGUAAUAUAGUACCUAUGUGUCAAAAAUAUCCAAAAGCCAAAUAUCAGUGUGCUUUAUUUAUGUGAUUGUCAUUAGCAGUUUGUUAGGUGUGGCAUGCAGAAGCUCUUUUAUAACAAUGUAUCAUAUAUAGCCAGAUGAGUAUCUCAGAUCCCCUCAGUAUGGUAUAGUAACUUCAACAAUUUUUAGCAGAUG